UACGGGGGGGGCAAGCGUUGUUCGGAAUUACUGGGCGUAAAGGGCUUGUAGGCGGCCAACUAAGUCGGACGUGAAAUCCCUCGGCUUAACCGGGGAACUGCGUCCGAUACUGGAUGGCUUGAGUAUGGGAGAGGGAUGCGGAAUUCCAGGUGUAGCGGUGAAAUGCGUAGAUAUCUGGAGGAACACCGGUGGCGAAGGCGGCAUCCUGGACCAUUACUGACGCUGAGGAGCGAAAGCCAGGGGAGCAAACGGG
rnacentral:rRNA from 1 species